GAUUUCCUAUAUGACUGAGUGGCGGACGGGUGAGUAACGCGUGGGGAACCUGCCCUAUACAGGGGGAUAACAGCUGGAAACGGCUGCUAAUACCGCAUAAGCGCACAGAAUCGCAUGAUUCAGUGUGAAAAGCCCUGGCAGUAUAGGAUGGUCCCGCGUCUGAUUAGCUGGUUGGUGAGGUAACGGCUCACCAAGGCGACGAUCAGUAGCCGGCUUGAGAGAGUGAACGGCCACAUUGGGACUGAGACACGGCCCAAACUCCUACGGGAGGCAGCAGUGGGGAAUAUUGCACAAUGGGGGAAACCCUGAUGCAGCGACGCCGCGUGAGUGAAGAAGUAUUUCGGUAUGUAAAGCUCUAUCAGCAGGGAAGAAAACAGACGGUACCUGACUAAGAAGCCCCGGCUAACUACGUGCCAGCAGCCGCGGUAAUACGUAGGGGGCAAGCGUUAUCCGGAAUUACUGGGUGUAAAGGGUGCGUAGGUGGCAUGGUAAGUCAGAAGUG
rnacentral:rRNA from 1 species